UGAAUUUACGGUGCAAAACGAACAGGAGUGCAUCCCUUAGUGUGCCUAUGCUACUGACUUGUGAUAAAAUUUGUCCAACGAUUGUGUUUAACACAUUUUAUCUCACCCAAUUAUCUGCAUUAGCUAAUUAAGGUAAUCGUAUCAGUCGAGAAGCGCUGAAUGCAACUUCUCCCGGUGUUUUGGUCAUGAACAAUAGGCCAGAAGAAAAACCAUUGUGAAUUAUUUGGAUCAAUUGAGAAAAUAGUAACUCCAAUUUUCCUGACUAUGAAUCCAUGUUCAUUUGCUUUGAAUCCGGGAUAUACCUAAAAGUCCAAGGCAAAUAAUGGAUGAGCCCAAAUAAUACUUCUUACUAUUUGUAGAGUUAGCAAUGCCAUAUGUCAUUUACCAGAAUUUUUGAGUCAAGAAAAUGAUCAAGAUGGCAGACAUGAACGAGAAUGUCUUUUGACAUAAUCGGCUGCACUGUGAAAUGAUCCCUUAUAUCCUGGAUAAGCUCUUAUUAUUGCAUUUACUUGCUGUAAAGAAAAACACGAGAAGCGUUUUCAUAAGCUUCCUGAGGAAACUUUCUUUUAUCCUAUAUGCCAUUUGAAAACUAUCUUGCAUUCAUUUUGAUAUGUGAACAGCACAUAAUGUUAAGGAAAUGAAUCAUACUAUAUAUCCCACAAAAGAAGCAACUUAAGCUGAAUUCACUACCCAAUUUGAUCAAAGCUUCUGUGGUUGAUGAUGUUAGAUGCCUAUUAGUUGGAUUGAAAGAGUUGAAAAAGAAAAUUAAUAUUGAGUUCGACAAACAAAGAUGUGUAUAUGUUGGGUAUAAUGAGUAGUUUGCUGAUGUUAGUUGCUAGAUUGAUUACAUUUUAUUCACUGGCGCGAUUUGGUCAUUAUUCCACCAGUUGUGAUGUAAAUGCUGAAAUAUCCAAAGGAGCUUUAGAAAGGCACUUCAUAAAGGAAAAAAAUUAAUCAAAGGAUCAAGAGCUCGAUGUUUCUUGGACUUCUCCAAACUUUGACAAUGCAUCCUUGGAAAGUGAUCGAGAGCCUUUGGUGACACUAACGCCUCGGAUUAUGCCUGGUCAGCCUAAAGAGAUAAGGAUAACAGAGGAAGGAGAAUCUAAAAAUGGACUCAAAUUGUCAUGACAAGGUACAGAAAUUACAUUGAAACAAAAGAAACAGAUGAAGAGAUGGCCAGACAAAGAGAAGCCAACCAACUUGUCACGGAGAUGCAUCAUAACAAUGCCACCAAUCAAAAGCAGCAAAAGGUAGACAAUAUGAAAAAGAAGCAAGAGGGUGGAGCAUUUGAAGGACAUUGGAAGUGUUGGAUCAACAAGAUCUCCAAGGAAGAGGAAAAUUCACCAGAAGUAGCUGUAUGAAGAGUUGGAAGUCUGAUAUAUUUUAGUACUUUGUGUUGUUAUGAUAAUCUUCAAUUAAGAUCAAGAGAUGGAUCUUGUUGUUUAUAUUUUUCUGCUAGUGUUUAAGAUGUGGGAAUGAUACUGUUAAGACCACAAGCAUUCUGCGCAACAGCCUUUUUGUGCCUGGGAGUGCGUUUGAUAUUUGAAAAGAAAGUGCAGUUGGCCUUACUUU